CAAAUCAAAAUCUGCAUCUCUGCGCCCAAACCAAACAAAUAUUAGUUCACAGCCCAACUCGUGGUUCUCUGCUGCUGCUGCAUCACACUCAACAGUGUUCGCUUCCAUUUGAGAAUCGCCUCGGCGAGAAAGGGGGACGCCGCUGAUCGGAGAACAUAAAUGAAGCUGCCGCCUCCAUCUGAACCUUCGCGGCCUCUUCACUCCGUUUUUGUUAAAGGUGGAGAAGUGAAAGAUGCUGAGGGAGAGCCAGUGAUAAUCGGAGGUAUGGUUUUGGAUGUUCACGCCACCCCUUCUAUGCCUGCAAAUCCAAGGACCACCACUCCUGGCAAGGUGUACCAUAUACCAGGUGGUGUAGCGAGGAAUGUGGCUGAGUGCAUGUCAAAGCUUGGAAUAAGGCCUUAUAUGAUAAGUGCCAUGGGACUUGAUAUGGCAGGGAAUUUGCUGCUGGAGUACUGGAAAUCUGCUGGACUGUCUAUGGGAGGGAUUCAAAGGCGCCAGGAUAUUGAGACUUCUGUUGUAUGCAACGUCUUUGAUGUUAAAGGAGAGGUCGCAGCUGGGGUUGCUAGUGUAGAAGCAAUUGAAAAAUUUCUUACACCUGAAUGGAUUCAAUUAUUCAAUUACAAUAUAAGCUCUGCUCCUGUUGUGAUGGUGGAUGCAAACUUACAUCCUUCUGCUUUGGAAGCGUCUUGCAGAAUGGCUGUUCAAUCCGAUGUCCCUGUGUGGUUUGAGCCCGUCUCAGUGGUAAAAUCCAGAAGAGUUGUUUCAGUUGUAGAGUCUAUAACGUUUGCUUCACCUAAUGAAGAUGAACUUAUUGCCAUGGCAAAUGCUCUGUCUUGCGGUGAUGUUUUUCAUCCAAUUCACAAAAAUAAUAGGAAUAUUGGAUGUUCAAUAGAAUCCUUGUUCCAAAUGCUCAGACCAGCAAUCUGGGUUUUACUUGAGAAAGGUAUUAAAGUUGUCAUUGUGACUCUUGGAUCAGACGGGGUGUUUUUAUGUUCUAGAGGACCCCCUGGAUUCAAGAAAAAUGGUUCGAAGAAAAGCAAGCUUCAUGAUUCCAGCAGCCUGUUAUACAGAUAUGUGAAUUCAAGCUGUCCUCCAAAUCAGUUUUUUGGAGCUACAGAGCAUGAGACAAGCUCUAAUCUAUUCGCUGUGCACUUCCCUGCACUUCCUGCCUCAGUUGUAAGGCUUACAGGGGCUGGGGAUUGCUUGGUUGGUGCAACACUUGCUUGCAUCUCUGCAGGGUUGGAUGUUAUCCAGAGUUUGGCUGUUGGUAUAGCAGCUGCCAAAGCUGCUGUUGAGGCAGAGACCAAUGUGCCUGCAGAUUAUAGUUUGGCCAAGGUUGCAGAUGAUGCCAGAUCUGUUUACUCUGCUGCCAAAAUGAUGUUCUGUCGGUCAAUGCUUUAAAUCAAUGUACAAUUGUACGAGGAGAUUCUUCCAACAGUAGUUGAUCUGGCCAGGCUGCUAGGCUGAUUUUUUUCUUCAAGCAAGAUAAACAACUUUUAAGUUGAUUGAGAAUCAUGCUUGCCUUUCACUGGGUUCUCCGUUCAUAAUGCAAUUUGGGGCUGAAAAUUUGUCUACUAUAUGUCUUCUUGUGUUGUACCUUCUACCCGUGACAGUUCUGUACAUGUCGAGGAAAGCUUCUUGAACUGUCAGUUGAAUGCACGGCUAAGGCUGACGCUCCUGCUUGCUUUUGUGAGUUAGUAUCUAGAAUGAGAAGGUUGAGCACUUCCUAUUUGGAGUUUGCCUAAAGGCAAAAUUUUUCUCCAUGGUGCCAGUUUUUACUCCUUGGUGGAUUAUUAAAAGCUCAGAUGUGAGAGCAUCACAGAUGUGUGUUGAAUUUGUCGAGUUCACCAGUGGAGAUCAUAUCAAUCUUGUUUAAAGCCAGCCAAUCCAAGAGGUAUUAAGGAUACAACAUCAGCUGUUAAUGGUUUGAGCUGCUUUCGGCUAGAUCAGCAUCCGGCCACAACUCACAACGCAUUAUGCAACAUCUUGGAAGCUUGAGAAGAUAGAAGUACCUAAAAUCCUAAUUUCUGAUUCUGGGGAAGUGGAACGUGCAA